GCUGCAUGGCUGUCGUCAGCUCGUGUCGUGAGAUGUUGGGUUAAGUCCCGCAACGAGCGCAACCCUCGCCUUCAGUUGCCAUCAGUUCGGCUGGGCACUCUGGAGGAACUGCCGGUGACAAGCCGGAGGAAGGUGGGGAUGACGUCAAGUCCUCAUGGCCCUUACGGGUUGGGCUACACACGUGCUACAAUGGCGAUGACAGUGGGAUGCAAGCGUGCGAGCGUGAGCUAAUCUCCAAAAGUCGUCUCAGUUCGGAUUGUUCUCUGCAACUCGAGAGCAUGAAGUCGGAAUCGCUAGUAAUCGCUUAUCAGCAUGAAGCGGUGAAUACGUUCCCGGGCCUUGUACACACCGCC
rnacentral:rRNA from 1 species